rnacentral:rRNA from 1 species
GACGAACGCUGGCGGCGUGCUUAACACAUGCAAGUCGAACGGAAAGGCCCUGCUUUUGUGGGGUGCUCGAGUGGCGAACGGGUGAGUAACACGUGAGUAACCUGCCCUUGACUUUGGGAUAACUUCAGGAAACUGGGGCUAAUACCGGAUAGGAGCUCCUGCUGCAUGGUGGGGGUUGGAAAGUUUCGGCGGUUGGGGAUGGACUCGCGGCUUAUCAGCUUGUUGGUGGGGUAGUGGCUUACCAAGGCUUUGACGGGUAGCCGGCCUGAGAGGGUGACCGGCCACAUUGGGACUGAGAUACGGCCCGGACUCCUACGGGAGGCAGCAGUGGGGAAUAUUGCACAAUGGGCGGAAGCCUGAUGCAGCAACGCCGCGUGCGGGAUGACGGCCUUCGGGUUGUAGACCGCUUUCGCCUGUGACGAAGCGUGAGUGACGGUAAUGGGUAAAGAAGCACCGGCUAACUACGUG